UUUGCCAAGUGUAAAUAGCUUGGAGAAUAAGUGGUGGGCAAGACUGGUGCCAGCCGCCGCGGUAACACCAGCGCCACGAGUGGCUAUCACGAUUAUUGGGCCUAAAGCGUCCGUAGUCGGUUCUGUACAUCUUCUGUGAAAUCGUUGCGCUUAACGUAACGGCACGCGGAAGACACGGCAGAGCUUGAGAGCGGGAGGCGUGUAGGGUACUCCGGGGGGACCGGUAAAAUGGUAUAAUCCCCGGAAGACCACCUGUGGCGAAGGCGCUACACGAGAACGCAUCUGACGAUGAGGGACGAAAGCCAGGGGAGCAAACCGGAUUAGAUACCCGAGUAGUCCUGGCCGUAAACGCUGUCAGCUAGGUGUUGCGUGUUCCUUGUGAACUCGCAGUAUCGGAGCGAAGGUAUUAAGCUGACCGCCUGGGAAGUACGGUCGCAAGACUGAAACUUUAAGGAAUUGGCGGGGGAGCAC
rnacentral:rRNA from 1 species